GACCGAACCCAUAUCUGUUGCAAUAGAUCGGGAUGACUUGUGGCUAGGGGUGAAAGGCCAAUCAAACUUGGAGAUAGCUGGUUCUCCGCGAAAUCUAUUUAGGUAGAGCGUCCAGCGAAUACCCCCGGGGGUAGAGCACUGAAUGGGCUAUGGGGACUCACCGUCUUACUGAUCCUAAUCAAACUCCGAAUACCGGGGAGUACUACUGGGCAGACACACGGCGGGUGCUAACGUCCGUCGUGAAGAGGGCAACAACCCUGACCACCAUCUAAGGUCCCUAAGUUAUGGCUAAGUGGGAAAGGAUGUGAGGAUCCCAAAACAACCAGGAUGUUGGCUUAGAAGCAGCCAUCAUUUAAAGAAAGCGUAACAGCUCACUGGUCUAAAUAAGGGUCUUUGCGCCGAAAAUGUACCGGGGCUAAAGCCAUACACCGAAGCUGUGGAUGCACGUAUGUGCGUGGUAGCGGAGCGUUCCGUAAGCCUGUGAAGGGACAGUCGUGAGACAUCCUGGAGGUAUCGGAAGUGAGAAUGCUGACAUGAGUAACGAUAAAGGGAGUGAGAGACUCCCUCGCCGAAAGUCCAAGGGUUCCUGCUUAAAGUUAAUCUGAGCAGGGUUAGCCGGCCCCUAAGGCGAGGCCGAAAGGCGUAGUCGAUGGGAACCACGUUAAUAUUCGUGGGCCUGCAGGUAGUGACGGAUUGCGUGUGUUGUCAGGUCUUAUUGGAUUGAUCUGGCAGCGAAGCGGUUCCAGGAAAUAGCUCCUGCAUAUAGACCGUACCCUAAACCGACACUGGUGGACUGGUAGAGAAUACCAAGGCGCUUGAGAGAACUGCGUUGAAGGAACUCGGCAAAAUGCACGCGUAACUUCGGAAGAAGCGUGACCUCCAUUUAGGCAACUAGGUGGAGGUGGCACAGACCAGGGGGUAGCGACUGUUUACCAAAAACACAGGGCUCUGCGAAGUCGCAAGACGACGUAUAGGGUCUGACGCCUGCCCGGUGCUGGAAGGUUAAGAGGAGAUGUGCAAGCAUUGAAUUGAAGCCCCAGUAAACGGCGGCCGUAACUAUAACGGUCCUAAGGUAGCGAAAUUCCUUGUCGGGUAAGUUCCGACCUGCACGAAUGGCGUAACGACUUCCCCGCUGUCUCCAACGCAGACUCAGUGAAAUUGAAUUCCCCGUGAAGAUGCGGGGUUCCUGCGGUUAGACGGAAAGACCCCGUGCACCUUUACUAUAGCUUUACACUGGCAUUCGUGUCGACAUGUGUAGGAUAGGUGGUAGACUUUGAAGCAGUGGCGCCAGCCAUUGUGGAGUCAUCCUUGAAAUACCACCCUUAUCUAUAUGGAUGUCUAACUGCGGCCCGUUAUCCGGGUCCAGGACCGUGUAUGGUGGGUAGUUUGACUGGGGCGGUCGCCUCCUAAAGAGUAACGGAGGCGCGCGAUGGUAGGCUCAGAACGGUCGGAAAUCGUUCGUCGAGUGCAAUGGCAUAAGCCUGCCUGACUGCAAGACUGACAAGUCGAGCAGAGACGAAAGUCGGUCAUAGUGAUCCGGUGGUCCCGCGUGGAAGGGCCAUCGCUCAACGGAUAAAAGGUACGCCGGGGAUAACAGGCUGAUGACCCCCAAGAGUCCAUAUCGACGGGGUUGUUUGGCACCUCGAUGUCGACUCAUCGCAUCCUGGGGCUGGAGCAGGUCCCAAGGGU
rnacentral:rRNA from 1 species